AGUCAUGUCGGCCAGGUGCUCCCCAGGCUAGCACUGCCCCGCCCCUGCGUGAUCCGGGAUGGGAGUUUGGAAACUGCUCCCCAUAGGCGGCCGGAGAGGAACGUGAAUCUUUGUCUGUUUCACUCCUCAGCAGCUCACUCUUGGCCCCAGGAGGAAAACGAGAAGGUUAACCAGGCAUAACCCGGAGGUGUAAGUCAGAGAGACAGGGUCUCACUGCAUGCCUGUAGUGCCAGCUACUCAGGAGACUGAGGUGGGAGGAUCUCUUGAGCCCAGGAGGUCGAGGUGGCAGUGGCCCAUGAUUGCAUCACUGUACUCAGUCUGUCUGCACUACCAUUGUGAGCUGUUAACACUCACUGUGAAGGUCUGCAAAGGUCUGCGGCUUCACUCCUGAAGUCAGCAAGACCACAAACCCACCAGAAAGAAGAAAUUCCAGACACAUCUGAACAUCUGAAGGAACAAACUCCGGACACACCAUCUUUAAGAACUGUAACACUCACCACGAGGGUCUGUGGCUUCAUUCUUGAAGUCAGCGAGACCGAGAACCCAUGGGAAGGAACCAAUUCUGGACGCACUGGGUUCACGCCAUUCUCCUGCCUCAGCCUCCAAAGUAGCUGGGACUACAGGUGCCCGCCCACCAUGCCCGGGUAAUUUUUUGUAUUUUUAGUACAGACGGGGUUUCACCGUGUUAGCCAGGAUGGUCUCGAUCUCCUGACCUCGUGAUCCACCCGCCUUGGCUUCCCAAAGUGCUGGGAUUACAGGUGUGAGCCACCGCGCCUGGCCUUUUUUUAAGUCUUAAUAUGGGAUUUCCAUAAAACUUAAUCCGUACUCCACAAUGCAACUUUUUAUAAUCAAUAAAAUUGGCAGGUUUGUUUGCUUCCUAACAAUUUAGAAGGACUUUCAGAAAAUUUGGCUGGUCAAAACCUAUUUUUACAUCUAGCCAAAUGGUUAUCUCUAGAUGAAGGGAUUUGGGUUCAUUUAUAUUUUCUUUUUCUUUUUCUUUUUUUUUUUUGAGAUGGAGUCUUGCUCUGUCACCCAGUCUGGAGUGCAGUGGCGCGAUCUCGGCUCACUGCAGGCUCUGCCUCCUGGGUUCACGCCAUUCUCCUGUCUCAGCCUCCCCAGCAGCUGGGACAACAGGCGCACGCCGCCACGCCCGGCUAAUUUUGUUGUUGUUGUUGUUGUUGUAUUUUUAGUAGAGACGGGGUUUCACCGUGUUAGCCAGGAUGGUCUCAACCUCCUGACCUCGUGAUCUGCCCGCCUCCACCUCCCAAAGUGCUGGGAUUACAGGCGUGAGCCACCAUGCCUGGCCAUUUAUAUUUUCUUUUUUCUUUGCGUUUAAUUCAGCAAUGCACCAGAAGGACUGACGAGACUCACUGGUUGGCCAGGCGUGGUGACUCAUAUCUGAAAUCCCAGUACUUCAGGAAGCCAAGGAGGGUGGAUUCUUUGAGCCCAGAAAUUCGAGACCAGGCUGGGCAACAUGGCAAAACCCUGUCUCUACAAAAAAUUAGGUGUGGUGCCACACACCUGUGGUCCCAGCUACUCGGGAGGCUGAGGUAAUAGGCUCACUAGAACCUGGGAGGUUAAGGCUGCAGUGAGCCAAGAUCCUGCCACUGUACUCCAGCCUGAGUGGCAGAGCAAGACCCUAUCUCAAAAAUAAAUUUUAAAAAAGAACCAAUGGCAGGUUAUAUACUUACUACUAAGAUUUAUUAUAGCAAAGUAUACAUAGCAAAAGCAGCAGGAAAAAGACAUGCAUCAGCAGGGUCCAGAGAGGUUCAACACAGGUUUCCAAUGUCUUUCGUUGUCUGAGGCCACACAGGAGUACUCGCUGUCUCGAGCAGUUAACUACAGGGACAUGUGUGGAAUGUCUUUGCCCAUGAAAGCCUGUCUGAAUCUCAGAGUCCAAGGCUUUUAUGAGGAGCUGGUAAUGUAAGUAUAUCCUGCUAUGCAAUUAGCCAUGGCAAGCAAAACUCAGGACCCUAACAAUGAAACCUCAAUCUUGGUGUUUAUGGAAAGCAACCUGACAAACCAGUAUGGCAUGGUUCGUUGCUCCAGUUGUAUAUAACAAAAUCACCAAUCAAUAACACAAAGAACUCUCUAAGGACUAUAUUCCCAGUGAUUGGCCAAGGGCUAAUCAUGGUUCCCUUGGAGACCUGCAAGGUUAUGCAACCUGACCUACUGUGUUAACUCUUUCCUCAGUCUGUAUUUUCUAAAAUGUCUAUAAUUAACAUAUAUUACUUUUAUAAUCAGAAAAGUAACUAUUAACAUAAAGGCAUCCAAACAUAAUGAUUUUCUUUUUAGUUAUUUAAUGAUGCUGCUUUGUAAGCUCAGUACAUUUUCUUGUAGUCAGCAGAGCUGCUAAGAGUAUAGUCACCCUACUAGACAUUUCAUAGAUGCCCAUCAGAGCCUUUAUAUGCUUUGGGAAAAACCAUAAAAACAGGCAUGAAAGAGCAUAUGAAACCUAGGAGGAACCACAGCAACAUCUAGUUCCACUUCCCCAUCUUAGAGAUGAGGAAAUGGGAAUUCUGAACAGUGAAAGGACUCUCCCCAGGUUCUAAACCUUAGGGUUUUCAAUUAAAAACCUGUCUUGGAAUUGCUGAAA